UACGUAGGGCGCAAGCGUUGUCCGGAAUUAUUGGGCGUAAAGAGCUCGUAGGCGGUCUGUCACGUCUGCCGUGAAAACCCGAGGCUUAACCUCGUGGCUUGCGGUGGAUACGGGCAGACUAGAGGUAGGUAGGGGAGAACGGAAUUCCCGGUGUAGCGGUGAAAUGCGCAGAUAUCGGGAGGAACACCGGUGGCGAAGGCGGUUCUCUGGGCCUUACCUGACGCUGAGGAGCGAAAGCAUGGGGAGCAAACAGG
rnacentral:rRNA from 1 species